rnacentral:rRNA from 1 species
UACGGAGGGUGCAAGCGUUAUCCGGAUUUACUGGGUUUAAAGGGUGUGUAGGCGGACUUUUAAGUCAGGGGUGAAAUCCCGAGGCUCAACCUCGGAACUGCCUUUGAUACUAUUGGUCUUGAAUGUUGUUGAGGUGGGCGGAACGGGUCAUGUAGCGGUGAAAUGCAUAGAUAUGACCCGGAACACCGAUUGCGAAGGCAGCCCGCUAAGCAACUAUUGACGCUGAGGCACGAAAGCGUGGGGAUCAAACAGU